UACGGGAGGCAGCAGUGGGGAAUUUUGCGCAAUGGGGGAAACCCUGACGCAGCAACGCCGCGUGCGGGAUGAAGGCCUUCGGGUUGUAAACCGCUUUCAGCAGGGAAGAAGAUGACGGUACCUGCAGAAGAAGCUCCGGCUAACUACGUGCCAGCAGCCGCGGUAAU
rnacentral:rRNA from 1 species